rnacentral:rRNA from 1 species
AAGUCGUAACAAGGUUUCCGUAGGUGAACCUGCGGAAGGAUCAUUAACAAAUACUGGAGUAACAAUCCAUAAAAGCGCGGUAGUCUCUCUUGUUUUCGUUUUGGAUCGUCAUCUGCACACUAUACUUUACUUGUAGUGUGUAGUGUUGGCAUCCAAGGGGAAUGGCAAGCGGGCUGUCGUGUGACGCUUUGAAUCUGUGGAUUUAGAGUGUCUUUUGUCAGGGAAGGAGAGCCUAAAAAUCCUCGUUCUUUUUCAAAAAUAUUUGCGCAUUAACCAAUGUUUGUGGGGUUGACUGAAUUGAAUGAGAAACUAAAUCAAAAACAACUUUUAACAAUGGAUCUCUUGGCUCUUGCAACGAUGAAGAACGCAGUGAAAUGCGAUAAUUAAUGUGAAUUGCAUAAAUCUGUGAAUCAUCAAGUCUUUGAACGCACAUUGCGCUCUUUGGGCAACCAGAGAGCAUACCUGUUUGAGAAUUGUAAAGUCGCCUUGGUUGCUACUUUUUGCGAGUAGUGGACUAGACCUGAAGCUUUCAGCCGAGGAGGGAUUUUUUGGAAUCUUUCCCAAGUGUUGAGCUUUUAAACUUAGAAAUAGCCCUUUAACUUUCAAGGUGGUCUUUGGAUUCCAAAGUGUGAAAAGUGUUGGCUGUGGCCUUCCAUAGCACUGAAACAAUCCCUGGGCAGUUUCAACACCCUCUAGUUGGACUAUUACUUGCUUGCAUCGGGAUAUCGCAUGUUUUUCUUAGCAAUAUCAAAAACCAUGGAAUGUGAAUACCUUGAAUUUCAUCUCAAAUCAGGCAGGAGUACCCGCUGAACUUAAGCAUAUCAGUAAGCGGAGGAAAAGAAACUAACAAGGAUUCCCCUAGUAACGGCGAGUGAAGCGGGAUGAGCUCAAAUUUUAAAUCUGGGAGGCUUUGCUUCUCCGAAUUGUAAUCUAAAGAGGUGUUUUCGUUUACCUUGGAAGCAAAAGUCCCUUGGAAGAGGGCGUCAGAGAGGGUGAGAAUCCCGUUCUUGGCUUUCCACGAGGGUAGCGCUACGAUACAUCUUCAAAGAGUCGGGUUGUUUGGGAAUGCAGCCCAAAAUGGGAGGUAAAUUUCUUCUAAGGCUAAAUAAUGGCAAGAGACCGAUAGCGAACAAGUACCGUGAGGGAAAGAUGAAAAGAACUUUGAAAAGAGAGUUAAAAGUGCGUGAAAUUGUUAACAGGGAAACGAUUGAGACCAGUAUUGUGUAUAGGGGUAUCUAGUUUUGGGGAUACACUCCCCUUGCUAACGCCUUUAUGGACAAGUCAGCAUCAGUUUGGAUGAUCAAAUAAAGGGGGUUGGAAGAUGACGUUAAUCUUUAUUGAUUUUUGUUUUAUAGCCACCUCUGUAGUGAACACCCGGACUGAGGAAGCCUUNNGCGCUGCACGCCAUGGCCUUGUUUGGCUACGCGGCAGCUAAGAUGCUGACGAAAUGGUCUUAAACGACC